GUAGUCAUAUGCUUGUCUCAAAGAUUAAGCCAUGCAUGUCUAAGUAUAAGCAAUUAUACAGCGAAACUGCGAAUGGCUCAUUAAAUCAGUUAUCGUUUAUUUGAUAGUACCUUACUACUUGGAUAACCGUGGUAAUUCUAGAGCUAAUACAUGCUAAAAACCCCGACUCACGAAGGGGUGUAUUUAUUAGAUUAAAAGCCAAUGCCCUUCGGGGCUCACUGGUGAUUCAUAAUAACUUGUCGAAUCGCAUGGCCUUGCGCCGGCGAUGGUUCAUUCAAAUUUCUGCCCUAUCAACUUUCGACGGCUGGGUCUUGGCCAGCCAUGGCGACAACGGGUAACGGAGGGUUAGGGCUCGACCCCGGAGAACGAGCCUGAGAAACGGCUAUUACAUCCAAGGAAGGCAGCAGGCGCGCAAAUUACCCAAUACCGACUCGGUGAGGUAGUGACGAUAAAUACUGAUACAGGGCUCUUUUGGGUCUUGUAAUUGGAAUGAGUACAAUUUAAAUCCCUUAACGAGGAACAAUUGGGGGGCAAGUCUGGUGCCAGCAGCC
rnacentral:rRNA from 1 species